rnacentral:rRNA from 1 species
UGGUGCCAGCAGGCGGUAAUACGUAGGUGGCAAGCGUUAUCCGGAAUUAUUGGGCGUAAAGCGCGCGUAGGCGGUUUCUUAAGUCUGAUGUGAAAGCCCACGGCUCAACCGUGGAGGGUCAUUGGAAACUGGGAAACUUGAGUGCAGAAGAGGAGAGUGGAAUUCCAUGUGUAGCGGUGAAAUGCGCAGAGAUAUGGAGGAACACCAGUGGCGAAGGCGGCUCUCUGGUCUGUAACUGACGCUGAUGUGCGAAAGCGUGGGGAUCAAACAGGAUUAGAUACCCUGGUAGUCCCA